GACCCCUUCAAGAGUCCACACUCUUGAGAAGCACUGCUUUGGAGAUAUACAUAAAAUACUAAGAGGAAGUACAUCUCCAAGAAAAAGAACUGGGUAGUAGGACAGCAAGUUAAGACCACAUGAGAACUUAUUUAUUUAAAAAGAAAAUAGAAGAACAAAAUAUUUGCUCUUUGAGCAUAUCCUGAUUCAGGAAAGACAAGAUUAUUUCUAUGUAUACAUAGAUAACUCAAAAGCAAAUGGGAUUCUCCAUCAAAAGGAACAGUAUUCUUAGGAGAAAGGCUGAUUCCUGAGAAAGGAAAGCUACAAGACGAACUUAGAACAUCUUGCUGUGCCAAGAAGAAAGGAAAUAUUCCCCAAAAAUGACAGUAUGUCCAAAAGGAUAGGAACCUGGGUGGAGAGGCUCCCCCUGUACAAAUUGGGGACAAUUUGACAUCUAAAUAAAUAAAAGCAGUAAUGGAGUAGAACCCAUCAAAUAUAACAGGGAAUACAGAUAGUAGAUAAGAUAAA